rnacentral:tRNA from 1 species
GGAGAGGUGCUCGAGUGGUUGAAGAGGUACGCCUGGAAAGCGUAUAUACGGUGUGGAAUCGUAUCGAGAGUUCGAAUCUCUUCCUCUCCGCAA